CCUACGGGAGGCAGCAGUGGGGAAUCUUGCGCAAUGGCCGAGAGGCUGACGCAGCGACGCCGCGUGGGGGAUGAAGCAUUUCGGUGUGUAAACCCCUGUUGCUCGGGACGAACGACCCUUUUCGAGGGGUGUGACGGUACCGAGUGAGGAAGCACCGGCUAACUCCGUGCCAGCAGCCGCGGUAAUACGGAGGGUGCAAGCGUUGUCCGGAAUCACUGGGCGUAAAGGGCGCGUAGGUGGUUGGAUGCGCCGGUGGUGAAAGCGCAGGGCUCAACCCUGCGUCGGCCAUCGGGACGGUCCGACUGGAGCACUGUAGAGGCAGGUGGAAUUCCGGGUGUAGCGGUGGAAUGCGUAGAGAUCCGGAAGAACACCGGUGGCGAAGGCGGCCUGCUGGGCAGUUGCUGACACUGAGGCGCGACAGCGUGGGGAGCAAACAGGAUUAGAUACCCUGGUAGUCCACGCCGUAAACGAUGGGCACUAGGUGCUUGGGGGAGCGACCCCCUGAGUGCCGACGCUAACGCAUUAAGUGCCCCGCCUGGGGAGUACGACCGCAAGGUUGAAACUCAAAGGAAUUGACGG
rnacentral:rRNA from 1 species